rnacentral:tRNA from 1 species
GCUGGAGUGGCGGAACUGGCAGACGCACCAGACUCAAAAUCUGGCGCUGCGGAAGCAGCGUGGGGGUUCAACUCCCCCCUCCAGCACCA